CAUGUAGCGCAAUGUUUAGCGCGUUAGACUUCUAUUCUAAAGGUCGGGGGUUAAAGUCCCACCUGGGAGG